CACGUAGGGUGCGAGCGUUGUCCGGAAUUAUUGGGCGUAAAGAGCUCGUAGGCGGUGUGUCGCGUCGGCCGUGAAAACCUGCAGCUUAACUGUGGGCUUGCGGUCGAUACGGGCAUCACUGGAGUUCGGCAGGGGAGACUGGAAUUCCUGGUGUAGCGGUGAAAUGCGCAGAUAUCAGGAGGAACACCGGUGGCGAAGGCGGUUCUCUGGGCCUGACCUGACGCUGAGGAGCGAAAGCGUGGGGAGCGAACAGG
rnacentral:rRNA from 1 species